GUAGGGUUUGGGGUAAUUGGCAGGUAAUUGGGUAGGGUUUAGGGUGAUGGGGAGGGGUUUGGGGUGAUUGGGGUGCAGUUUACGGGUAAGUGGCAGGUGAUAGGGGUGUGGUUUAAGGUGACUGGCAGGUGAUGGGGUGGGGUUUAAGAUGAAUGGCAGGUGAUGGGGUGGGAUUUCUGGUGAUUGGCAGGUGAUGGGGUGGGGUUUAAGGUGACUGGCAGGUGAUGGGGGUGGGGUGUAAGGUGACUGGCAGGUGAUGGGGGUGGGGUGUAAGGUGACUGGCAGGUGAUGGGGUGGGAUUUCUGGUGAUUGGCAGGUGAUGGGGUGGGGUUUUGGGUGAUUAGCAGGUGAUUGGGUGGUAUUUCUGGUGAUCGCCAGGUGAUGGGGUGGGAUUUCUGGUGAUUGGCAGGUGAUGGGGGUGGGGUUUAAGGUGAUUGGCAGGUGAUGGGGUGGGGUGUAAGGUGACUGGCAGGUGAUGGGGGUGGGGUUUAAGGUGAUUGGCAGGUGAUGGGGUGGGUUUUGGUG